GUAAGACUCUACACAGCGCUGGAGCAACAAUUUUAUAAUGCUCAUGCUGGAUGCAAACAUGCGCGGGGGUGGAUAUAUAAACGCGCUUUGUAUCUCGCUACCUGCAGGUUCUAACUUGAGUAACUUAACAACUUUAUAUAUAUAGGGGGGAAAAAUGACACCGGACACGAUCAGAUCAGACGGAGAAGCUAGCUAGCUAGGAGCAAAAACCUCUUUCCCCCUUUCCAAAGUAGGCACUGCAAUGGCAUGGGUAGGAGGCUAACUUCACGUUGCAAGCGAAGCAAGAAACUAGGCUGCCAGGCGCCGCCGGUAGGCCAGCACCAUGACGAACUGCUUGGCCGGAGCGCCCACCGGAACCUGGAUCUCAUGCUUCGGCUGGCGGCUCAGCCACAGCUCCAGUAGGUCCUUCAGCGUCAUCAAGGGGCAUAUUGGCAUGCCAUGGCAUAAGAUCUCCACAUGCACCCGCAGACGAUUACGGGGAUCAGACGAAAAGAAAGCAGAUUCAGCAUCGUCCAUACAUAUAUACAUAGAAUGGAUCAAAAUGGAAGUGUAAAAGUUUCAAAAAAAUAAAUGGAAGUGCAAAGACAUAUAAAAGCCUCCCCUCAUCAUCACUUGCUAGCUCAAGUUUUUGCAUAAUGUACCUCUGGAUUGAGAAAACCUGCAAGGUUCCAUCUCUGAAACAAGCAGAAAAAUACUAUUAAGUAAAAAAAAAAAGGGCAGCCCGGUGCAUGUAGCUCCCGCUUGCGCAGGGUCCGAUCACUUUGGGUCUUUUGUACGCAGCCUUUCCCUGCAUUUCUGCAAGAGGCUGUUGAAAUAGUGUACUAAAUAGUAAAUUCUUCAAGUGCACGUUACAAGAUCAGGAAAGAAAAAUGAACUGCUGGUGUGAAUGGCAAAAAGUUAAAACACAUGGGAUUUUCAGAUAAAACUUCUUUUCCAUUCCUGACAAUCUUUCUAAAUUGGAUGUUUCUGUUGGUACUUCCCCUUAAUUGAAAAAAAGAAAAAGGCACUCCAGCUAAUAGCUCUGCAC
rnacentral:lncRNA from 1 species